UACCCUGUAGAACCGAAUUUGUGUGAUGUUUCGGUCACAGAUUCGUUUCUAGGGGAGUC
rnacentral:pre_miRNA from 1 species